rnacentral:misc_RNA from 1 species
GUUCGCACACAUGGUUUAAGUCAAUCUGUUUGCCAGAAAGGACUUUCUAAUUCCAGAAGUGUUUUCAGCUGGGUUUUUAGAAGGGUCCUUGGGUUUAUUACGUGCUCUUAAGAAUUGCGGAGAAAGCAGGUAGUGGCCAAACGAAAAAAAGCGGAGAUCUACCUAACGGAAAAUCUGAGUCUUCCCAUAAACAAUGUCGCCUAGGACCCAAGUUAGUAGGAGGCUUCUUCCUCCUAUCUUCCUUCCCAACGUUGGUCAUAAGCAAUCGGCAUCGCGGAUCAUUGCCCUCACUUUCCUAACUGAAAAUGAAUUUGGAAGAAUAAAUAAACAGGUGAUGCCAAGAUACUGGAUGGAGUAUAAUAAGCAGAGCUGAAGUGAAGCUAAAGUCCAACAAACAAAUGAAAGAAAUAUUAUGUAAUACAUAGAGGACGCACACAAAAGAUAAUAAAUUGAGUAAGAAUAAUAAGAAUACAAGGUAAUAACUAACUUGGGCGUACUAUUUAAUGACUCGAAAGGGAAACAUUUAAUAUGUUAAGCGAAGAAGUUAACCUAGAUAGGUUAGUUUUCGUAUGUUACGUCGGGCGACACCCUACCUAGACCAGAUCACAUACGGCGGACAAGAUGGCAACCAGAUGUCCGCACAUAUUCACU